UGGGGAAUAUUGCACAAUGGGCGCAAGCCUGAUGCAGCGACGCCGCGUGCGGGAUGGAGGCCUGGUUGUAACCGCUUUGUUCAAGGGCAAGGCACGGUCUUUGGCCGUGUUGAGUGGAUUGUUCGAAUAAGCACCGGCUAACUACGUGCC
rnacentral:rRNA from 1 species